UCUGAUUUGGUAGGUCUGAAUGGGACCCUUUUGUACAAAACCUCCUCGGGAGGUCUUGAUGCUCUUGUUUAGUUGGGAUGUCUGCGAACUGAGGACUGACUUCUCAGGAAGAAGGAAUUCAGCAGGGCCCAGCAGUGCUGACUCAAUGGCAAAACAGUGUCGCCCAAGGGAUCACCUUCAGCUAAACAACCUCAAGCCCAGAAGUGACAGUGAUUCUGUCACGUUCCCCCAUCCCAGCAUCCUCCCUGAGAGCUCUGGUCUCCUCUAGGAAGGCCCAUCUGUGAAGUGGUGCGCUGAGGGGUCUCUCCCUGCCCCAUCUGUUCCUC
ensembl:lncRNA